UGUUGACAAUGAUUGAUGCUCCUGCUCCUACCACUGUUGCUUCUGCUACUGGUUCUGCUGCUGCUGCUACUACGAUUACAAAGACCCUUACAACUACUGCUGCUGCUGCAUUUAAAUCACUAUUUGUGUAUCAAUAAUCAUGUCUGGUGUUUGUUACAGUCAAAACCUGGAGAAGUAAUGCAGGCUGUUAAGGAUGCUAUUUCUUGUGGAUAUCGCCAUCUUGACUGUGCCCUUAUUUAUGGUAACGAACCUGAAGUUGGAGAAGCUAUUAAAGCAAAGAUUGCAGAUGGCACUGUAACACGCCAAGACUUAUUCAUCACAAGCAAGCUUUGGAAUACAUAUCAUAGGAAGAGCCUUGUCAUUCCAACCCUGAAGGAAUCCUUAACUAACCUUGGACUUGAUUACUUGGACUUAUACCUCAUUCACUGGCCUAUGGGGUACAAGGAGGGUGGAGAGAAGUUUCCGACUGAUGAAAGUGGGAAAACUUUGUAUAGUGAUGUGGAUUACAUUGAGACCUGGCCAGCUAUGGAAGAGGCAGUGGAAGCAGGUCUUGUCAGAUCCAUUGGAGUUUCCAACUUUAGCAAGGAUCAAAUUGAACGAGUUCUUCAAAUUGCUAAAAUAGUGCCUGCCAACAAUCAGGUUGAGUGUCACCCAUACUUAAAUCAAAAGAAGCUUAUUGAUUACUGCAAAAGUAAAGGAAUAACUGUCACUGCCUACAGCCCACUAGGAUCACCAGACAGACCUUGGGCUAAGCCUGAUGAUCCUUUGCUUAUGGAUGAUCCUAGGAUAGUUGGAAUUGCUGAGAAGUACAAGAAGACUCCUGCUCAAAUUCUCAUUCGCUAUCAGAUUCAACGUGAUGUGAUUGUUAUUCCCAAGUCUGUUACAAAAUCACGCAUUGAGGAAAAUAUACAGGUCAGCACUAUUUCAGUCAACAACCCCCAGCCUUUUGAUCCUGCUUCUACAUCAUGUUUUUUUACCAAGUGUGGAUCUCAUGAGGCGGUUUCCCACAUUUUUUGGUGCUCAGACCUGGAAAGCUUUAGAUGUAGAGUCAUCGUCCGGACAGGUGUUUGACUUUGCUCUGUCAGAUGAUGAUAUGAAGACUAUUGAUGGCUUUGACUGCAAUGGCCGUUUCCUUCAUCUUACUUGGAUUAAGGACCACCCACACUGGCCAUUCAACACUGAAUUUUAAGAAAAUACAUUGUUAAGAGAAAAGGAACCCCCAUAUUUGAAGAUGUAAUGUUUUUACUGAUUGUAAAUGAAAGCUCUGGUUAUUAUACUUUUUGUGAACAUUUUAAAGGACAGUCAGUGUUAAGAAAAAAAUUUAUUUACUAAUUGUUAAUGAUAGUUUGCAGUUAUUAUACCACUUUCUUUGUGAGUUUUGGUUGGUCAACACUACUAUGAUUUUUGAAAGAAAAUAAAAAACAAAGGGAAAAUGUUUUCUCUAUUGAUUUUCAACUAACCAGAGAGAUGGAAAAUAUAGAAACUGAUGCUCGCACCUCUUACAAUCAAAAAUAUUAGUUAUACCAUUAAAGAUCUUGGACACUUU